ACUGGCUUUGAUUUCGUUUUGAGAUGGGGCAGAAUUUUGUGUGACUGAUUAAGCCUUAUAUUCUGGAGUGGCAGAGUUUGACACAGUUCGUGCAUGUAUAGAUCUAUAUAUGUGUAGUGGAGUGGAUAUCUUAUCAGGAAACACCGGCCACCCCGAUAUCCACGUGACCCUUCCCCCUAAAUGGUACCUUGUGUCCGCGCAUGACAAGGCAGACCAACAUGGUCACUGUUGAUUCGACCGGCAUCUCCCGUAUGUUACUGGACCUACGUCGUCUCCACUCCCUGUUUGUGUCUGGUUCUACACCAUGUGUUUAUGUAUGGCUGCAGAUUGUUGAACCAGUCAUUCAUUGACAGUUGUUUAUAGUAAACAAAGGAACAAAAUGAAGACACAAUGUCCAGAUGCAUGAAUUGGAGAUUUAGUAACAAAAGAAAAAGAACCUCAUAUGCUGAACAUAAAACUUAAUGGUUUUUAUAUGCUCUCAAAACAUCAAAUCUUGCGAAACCAGAGUCCUAUCAAUGGUCUUUUUCCUUCUAUUGGAUCUGACAAGAAUACAAAUAGAAUAGCUCAUGUUCAGGAUUCUAUUUACUGUGCAGUUGCUGUUUGGUCACUGGCUCAAGUUUAUAAAAAGAUUGAUGAUGACCAGGGCAGUAUCAUUAGUUGGGCCAAGCUGAUGAUAGGUAUGUUGCAAUGUUGGAUAUUCAAGUUGGCCUCCUUCAGUCUUAGAGCGACUAUGGUUCAUCUCAAACACUUUUCCAUGUGCAAUGUUGGAUAUGACAGGCAGAUAAAGUAGAAAAGUUCAAAUCCAAUUAAGUCCAGCAUAUGCCCUGCACUCUACAUUGGAUCUUGUCACUGGUUACCCAGCAUACAGAGGCAAAGAAUAUGAACAUUUGCAAAUAAUAAAUGAACACCUUUGAUUUGGAUUCCUCAACUGAAGGAAACAUACCAAUACUAGAACAGUCUUAAAAAAACAGCAGUGAGGCCAACUAGAGUUGCACUAUAUCUCCUGGAUUACCAGUAAAUAGAAAUACUGUUUCAGCAAGGGAUUCAUUCAACAGAUGAAGUCAACUUCAUACAGAAUCUAGUUUUUUAUGUGGAGAGAGCUUAUAGAACACCUGACUAUGAGCUUAUAGAACACCUGACUCUGGGAUGUGGGAAAGAGGAAAUAUAACAAUGGAAGCAUAGAGAUUCAUGCCAGUUGGCAUUGCUAGAGCAGCAUUAAGGCAGUCAAUGAAUGUAACUUAUUUGGUGAGCAUGGAGCCACCUGGUCUGGGAUUUUUGUUAAUAUUGAUGCCCACCACAGGAACAGAACAAUAUUUGAAACUAUCUGACCAUGGGAAUCAAACUCUGAGAACACUGAUGCCUCUCCGUAAGUUGGCCUGCAUUAGCCGUAAAUGAAGAUAAUGUUAGAAUGAAAACAAUUGAGAAGGUCAUUCGCAAGUUAAAGGCAACUUUGGUAUCAAACAUUUUCCUAGAGAUAGGUACAAAACAGCUGUAGAGGACAAAAAUAGAAAGUAUUACCGCCCUGCUGAAAUUAAGUUUUGAUGGGAUUGAAUUUGAGGGACCUAAGGUGUCAUUUUAAUUGAUUUACAUUUAUAAGCACAGUAAGACUUUCUGAUCUUUUGGCAUCAUUUUACAUAGCUCAGGCCCCUUCAUAUGUUGACCUAACAAAGUCAAAGUUGCCAAGGAGAGUUGAGUAAAUAGAAGCGCAAAAGUUUCAUUUAUUAACUUUUAAAGCAAUAACACAGUUGAAUGUUCAAGUAUCCACCAGACAGAUGAAUGUUCAAGUAUCCACCAGACAGAUGAAUGUUCAAGUAUCCACCAGAUAGAUGAAUGUUCAAGUAUCCACCAGACAGUUGAAUGUUCAAGUAUCCACUAGACAGAUGAAUGUUCAAGUAUCCACCAGACAGUUGAAUGUGCAAGUAUCCACUAGACAGAUGAAUGUUCAAGUAUCCACCAUUUCAUUAAUUAUCAUAUUUCUCUUUUAGGAAAAUGUUUCUGUUUUCACUUUAUUUUAUUUUGUACCAGUCUAUUAUUUUGUACCAUUAAAAAUUUAUAUUUUAUGUUAGUAAAAAAGAUGUUUGAAAUUUUGUAGCAAAAUUUUUUAAAAAAAUCUCCUCUAUAUAUAUUAAAAUAGUAAUUUACUCAACCUUGGAAUCCUAUCACUGAACUGGGAAAGCUAGCUUUGAUUGUUUUUGUUGUUGUAAAUAUCCAUAUGGAUAGUGUGUAUAUUAUGCAAAGGUUGAUUAUUAGCUGUUAAGGUUGGAAUUUUCCUUUUUUUAAUUUUUACAUGAUUUCAAUGUUAAAUACCACUGUAGUUGUCUUUCUGAUAAUGAUGCUAUGAUGUGGUCUUGGUAUAUUUUUUCUGUGAUUAGAUGUUGUAACAUAUAGAUAUUGACAAUGUAAAAAGUUUAUAUACAACCAAGUUCAUACAUUAAUCUAUUUCACAAUCAUACAAACUAUAAACUGCGUAAAGCUUUUUGUUAUUAUUAAAAAUAUAAACUGUAAAGUAUUGGAUACUAAAAUGCAUUUUAAU